rnacentral:rRNA from 1 species
GAAUUCGCCCUUGGGGAAUUUUCCGCAAUGGGCGAAAGCCUGACGGAGCAAUACCGCGUGAGGGAGGAAGGCUCUUGGGUUGUAAACCUCUUUUCUCAGGGAAGAACAGAAUGACGGUACCUGAGGAAUAAGCAUCGGCUAACUCCGUGCCAGCAGCCGCGGUAAUACGGAGGAUGCAAGCGUUAUCCGGAAUGAUUGGGCGUAAAGGGUCCGCAGGUGGCAUUGUAAGUCUGCUGUUAAAGAGUUUGGCUCAACCAAAUAAGAGCAGUGGAAACUACAAAGCUAGAGUGUGGUCGGGGCAGAGGGAAUUCCUGGUGUAGCGGUGAAGUGCGUAGAUAUCAGGAAGAACACCAGUGGCGAAGGCGCUCUGCUAGGCCGAGACUGACACUGAGGGACGAAAGCUAGGGGAGCGAAUGGGAUUAGAUACCCCAGUAGUCCUAGCCGUAAACGAUGGAUACUAGGCGUAGCUCGUAUCGACCCGAGCUGUGCCGGAGCUAACGCGUUAAGUAUCCCGCCUGGGGAGUACGCAGGCAACUGUGAAACUCAAAGGAAUUGACGGGGGCCCGCACAAGCGGUGGAGUAUGUGGUUUAAUUCGAUGCAACGCGAAGAACCUUACCAAGGCUUGACAUGUCACGAAUCCUAUUGAAAGAUGGGAGUGCCUUCGGGAGCGUGAA